rnacentral:rRNA from 1 species
UACGUAGGGUGCGAGCGUUAAUCGGAAUUACUGGGCGUAAAGCGUGCGCAGGCGGUUUUGUAAGCCAGAUGUGAAAGCCCCGGGCUUAACCUGGGAAUGGCAUUUGGGACUGCAAGGCUUGAGUGCGGCAGAGGAGACUGGAAUUCCCGGUGUAGAGGUGAAAUUCGUAGAUAUCGGGAGGAACACCGGUGGCGAAGGCGGCGACCUGGGUCGAGACUGACGCUGAGGCGCGAAAGCGUGGGGAGCAAACAGG